rnacentral:sRNA from 1 species
CUUGCAUUCACUGCUUCUGCUCGGCUGUGAACUUGGUGCGGAACCGCUUCCUCGGCAUCCCGGCGCCGCCGGAGGGAGGCGCGGUCGCCGCCGGCGACAUCACCUACAGCGGGAGCCUUUGCGCCUGCCCGCUCGAGCCCAGCGAGAGUAGCAUGUGCUGCGCCGAAGGGUAAUACGGCUGGUGCACCACCGGCGCCGGCAGGUGCGGUGGCGACGGCGGGGACACAGACCGCUCGUCGUAGUAUUCCGAGCCAUCCGAGUUGUUGUCAGACUCGUCGCCAUCAACCCCAGGGAGCCGGACCUCGGGCGUCUCCUCCUCGCGGUGCAGCUGGCCGUGGAGCACGUUCGCCGGCAUGGGCGGCGCGGGCAGCGCCAGCGGCGGAGGCGGCGGCGGGGACCCCUCCAGCAGCCAGCAGUGGAAGUUGCAGUGGCAGCCGCACGCGGCGCACAUGAGCGACGUCGGGUCGGUGGGUUCACCGCCGACGACGGCAUGAACUCCUCGCAGCCGUCCAGCGCCGUGUCCGCCCAGGCUCGCUGCGUGGUUCUUGGGGCACUCCUGGUACACCGUCUCUCCUCCGCCCACCGCCGGCUGUGCUCGUCGCAGCUGUAGCUACGGAGGGGUACAGCCCACAAGCUCCACCUCAGCCAUGUCUCCGGCGACGACGCGGACGAAGCUGGGCGACAGUGGCGCGGCGAGGUCGGGCGGCGGCACGACCUUGCGGUGCCCGGCGAGGAGUGGCGUAGCAAGCCGAGCAUUGCUCGGCGCGGCAUCCCGAGGCUGACGUACGGCGGAGGUGCGGCUGCUGACCGAGGUGGCGGCGGCGCUGAGCGCUGUGACGGAGAUGACGGAAAAGGAGGGGGAUAGAUGGAAAACUUGACGAGAGUGGCACGGUUCUAAUUUCUGUAAAAUUUUAAUGGCACGUUUACGAAUAAGCGAAUUAUAAUUGUAUUUUUCUGAAUGGCG